rnacentral:rRNA from 1 species
CAAACCCAAAGGCGUAAUAAAAGUAAAAGGGUGGAAUUUUUUUAGUAUAUAUACAUUUAUGUGUGUAUACUAAUUUCCCCCGAGGAAAGAUGGAAUGAUUGUUUUUAUAAAGAAAAUGGUUACGGCCUUUUUGUUUUAAAAGCAAAAGAUUUCCCGCAUUCCCGGGGCGCUUCUUUGUCUUGCUUUGCAAGUCAAAGCGCACCUAGAGCGUACACGCUGAUACCCGAAAGAUGGUGAACUAUGCCUGGCCAGGACGAAGCCAGGGGAAACCCUGGUGGAGGUCCGCAGCGAUUCUGACGUGCAAAUCGAUCGUCGGAGCUGGGUAUAGGGGCGAAAGACCAAUCGAACCAUCUAGUAGCUGGUUCCCUCUGAAGUUUCCCUCAGGAUAGCUUGCGCUCGGUUGAGAAGAGUCUCAUCCGGUAGAGCGAAUGAUUAGAGGCAUUGGGGUCGAAACGACCUCAACCUAUUCUCAAACUCCAAAUAGAUGAGACCCCCGGCUUUCUUAAAAAUGAAGCCGUGGGAUUUUUGAUCAGAGUGCCAAGUGGGCCAAU